GGAAGCCUGCUUCAAGAAAUUAUUAAGAUACACAUAAGGGAGAUGUUAGAAAGAAGAGGGAAAAAACUUUGAUGGUGUAUUCAGUAGUUUUAUAUUGAUUGAGCACAAUAGCACAAACAAAAAAAAUUAGCAGUGACCUAAAGAAAGCAGGAGCUUAUGGAUGGUCUUGCAUAGCACCAAAUACCUUAGUAGACACUAUUUGUUCACGCUGUAUCCAUACUAUAUAUGCCAAUAGAAAGCAUAAUAUUCCAAGUUUCAUGCUCUAUCUAUGCUGCAUGCAGCACCGAAGCAAAUUUUCUCACACAAGAUCAAACAAGCAAGACAUGGCACCACAGAAAUAGGUCCCUA
rnacentral:misc_RNA from 1 species